CCCCGGGUACCUCCCAGGCAGGAGGGACCUUGGGCUGCAGACCUGACCUUGGAUCCCAACACCCCCCAGCACCAGAAUCGGGGUCUCUCUUCUCUCACUAACCCUCCAGCCCACACACACUCACCAAGAAACAGCCAGGCCAAGAGUCCAGGAAGGAAAAUAUCCAGCAAAAGGGACACUGGGCGCUUCCUGGGGUGCCUUUACACCCCUCCUCAUUUCCUCAUCAGCAACCUCCCACCCAUCAGCCAGUGACCUCAGCCGGACAUGGUCACUUAAUUUUGCAGAACACAAAACAUUUUUCCCAUCCUUUCCUGAGGAAGGCUGUGGUGGGUCAGAGUGUGGGCUUCAUCCAGUUCCUGACUGUCUGGGUUCAAACCCCAGCUCAGCCUCUUCUUAGCUGUUCAACCCUGGGCUGGUGCCUCUACCUCUCUGCACCUCAGUUUCCCCAUCUGUACAGAGGGGCUUACAGUAGAACCGCCUCCCAGGCCUGUUUUUCAUGUGGAAUGAGUCGAUGCACACAGCAAGUGCUCAGUAAUUGUUCCUGAGGUUCUCCGAGUUUGCAAGCCUGGGUCUGUGCCGAGUUCAGCAAAGAGGCUUGGGGACCCCCGCCCCCAUGCUCGUAUUGAAAGCUCAUCUGUGAAACUUCUCAGUCACCCUCUCCAUCCCGUUAGAGUUAUAUGUCCAAGUUAGAUUUUUAUUCUCUGGCGUCCACGUAACAAGCCGAGUUAUUAUUAUUUCUGGCCUAAAAUGUGCUGUGGUUCUGGGGGAGUAAUGGACCCAGGCUACGUUCUCUUCUGAUGAGGUGGCGUCCAAGCAUUUCUGGAAAACUGUGCACUGUUUUCCCAUCCGAAACAUUCAGCGUCACCAUGGACGUGGGACUUGAAGGUAGACACCGCUCCCACCCCUGGGCUGCCCAGCCCUUCCAGCCCCUCUGGAGAGGAGAUUCUGGGGGUCCCUCACUCCCUUCUGCUCCCAGCCCCACCCAAACCAAGAGCAUGGGAUCUCAGGGCUGGAGAAACCUCUUCCCCUUGUGUCAGAAAAUAACAACAUUCAUAAGGAUAACAGCAGGGGCAGGCUUCUUAUUCCAUCCUUAUAAUUACCAUCUGAGGGAAUUUGUCUCCUUAGCACCCUUGAAUAGGGAAGUGGAGGCCCAGAGAAGUGAACCAGCUUGCCCUAAGACACACAGCCAGGAAUGAGCAAGGGGGAUUGGAAUCCAAGCAAGUCUGAUAGAGAAACGCUGCCUUUUACGGCUUUCCUCAGCUUCCUCUGUAGAUGGACCGGAGACAGCCGUGUUCUUGCUCUCCUUCUCCGUCCUGUUUCAGCUUGGGUUCAAGGUGGUUUGCAAUCCAACGGGCCCAACUUCAUCAAUUCUCAUCAGUGUGACCCUGGCUCACGAAUUCCACCUUCUGAGCCUCAGUUUCCUCAUCUGCAGAAUGGGGGCAAUGCACAGUCUCCCUCAUUAGCAUGCUGUGAGAAUUCCCCAAGGUCAUGGACACUAAAACGUGCUGAGCUGGCAAUUCCUCAAUAAAUUAAGCAUAGAAUUACUGUAUGACCCCAGCAAUUCCACUCCUAAGUAUAUACUCAAAAGAAUUGAAAACAGGUGUUCAAACGAAGACUUGUACACAAACGCCCAUAGUAACACUAGUCACAAUAGACAAAAAGUGGAAACAAAUGUCCAUCAGUUGAUGGAUGAAUAAACAAAAUGUGGUAUAUCCAUACAAUAGACUACUAUUUAGUAGUAAAAAGGAAUGAAGUACUGAUCCAUGCUAUAACAUGAAUGAACAUGUGAAAGAGGCCAGACACAAAAGGCCUCAUGUUGUAUGAGUACAUUCAUAUGAAAUGCCCAGAGAAGGCAAAGCCAUAGAGACAGAAAGUAGGUUAGUGGUUUCCAGAGGCUAGAGGGAGGCAGGGAACGGGGAGUGACUGUUUCAUGGCUACAGAGUUUCCUCUUGGAGUGAUGGAAAUGUUCUGGAACUAGAUGGUGGUGAUGAUUGCACAACAGCGUGAAUGCACUAAAUGCCACUGAAUUGCACACUUUUACAAGGUUAAAAUGGUAAAAUUUAUGUGUCUUUUACCACACACACACACACACACACACACACACACACACACACAAGUGCUUAGCCCAGUGCCUGGUGUACAGAAAGCAUCCAGUGAAAGUUAGCCAGGAUUAUGAUCUUAUUUCAAGAGAAUCUUGUUGUACUCAGGGCUUGGGUUCCAGAGUUUGCUUGUGAAGCUUAAAUCAAGUCAAAACUACAAUCCACAAAACCCAGGACCUUUUUUCCCUGCCAUCCAUCAAUGGCUCCCAUACUUGGAUUCUGUGGCCACAUUUUCCAUGCCAUGUGGCAGCCAAUAGGUAACUCUGGGUGAUUCUGCCCAGCUGACAUUGCAAUUAUGGGAAAAGAAAGACAGUACAUCCCUAUACACGGGAUAAAUAGAGACUCUGAUGCCACAUAGCAAUGAGUGUUAUAAGGAAGAAUGAAAUGAGGGCUAGUUUAGCCAAGGUCAUCAAAGAAGGCUCCUUGGAAGAGGUGACUCAGGGAGCCAAGAGGAUCUCUAACUGUGACCUGCUCAGCCCUGCAUGAUUCACCCACAACUCCCGCAAGCCCCACCAGGCUCCCUCUGGUUCACUGCAUUCUAGCAACACAUUCUCUCAGUCACCUGGCUUGCUCUGUUCCCAGGACCUUUGCACAUGCUGAUCACUUUGCCAGGAGCCCUUUCCCCACAUCUGCCCCAGACCAGCUGCUUCUCACUCUCUGGAUAUUUCUCAAACGUCACCUCCUCAGAGAGGCCCUCCUGGACUGCCCUGCCUCAAGGGGUCCCCAGCAGUCAUCUUCUGUCACUUCCCCCUGCUUUAUUUCUAUCCUAGUACUUUUCCCACUUGAAAUUAUGUUUUUUUUUUUGUUUUUUUUUUUUGCAGUAUGCGGGCCUCUCACUGUUGUGGCCUCUCCUGUUGUGGAGCACAGGCUCCGGACGCGCAGGCUCAGCGGCCAUGGCUCACGGGCCUAGCCGCUCCGCGGCAUAUGGGAUCUUCCCGGACUGGGGCACGAACCCGUGUCCCCUGCAUCGGCAGGCGGAUUCUCAACCACUGCGCCACCAGGGAAGCCCUGAAAUUAUGUUUUUAUGUGUCUAUUAUCUGUCUCCGCUGUUAAACCGUCAGCUCCAUGACAGCAAGGCUUUUGGUCUGUCUUGUUUUCUGGUGUAUCCCCCUAUGCCUCAAGCCUAGAACCACGCCUAGCACAUAGUAGGUGUUCAAGAAACAUCUGUGGAAGUAAAGCACAAAUAAAUGAAUGAGUGAAUGUGUGAGUGAAUGAAUGAAAGAAUGCCUCUUUGCAGAGAGGAUGGGGCUCUGUCCAGAAAAGGGCCAAGAGUUCCCCAAGGGCAUGCAGUGGGAAGAGGGGUGACUCUACUGGUCCCCUCUUGGCUCAGGACUUAGCCGGGGUGCCAGGGAGGCCCUGCUUGUUGACGAGGGGCUGUGGCCAAGGUAGCUCUGGUGACCGCAGCCCCAUCUGUCUUCCUCCCUCUGGACGUCCACUCUGCUCACACAGUGUGGGAGCUCUGCCCGUCCAGCUCCCCAGCCCACGUCCUGGCUGUGACAGCCUCCAGCCCUGGGUGACCCACAGGGACUUCCCCCAACAGGUGAAGUCUGGGGCAGGGAGAAAGUGCUAGGCAGUUACCAAUCUGACCUUGUGUUCCUGAAAUUGCCAUCCAGGAAGUGAGUAGGGGGUGAGAGAGUCAGUGCGGCUCUACUGAAGGCCCCCCCAGCACCCCGCCUCCCAGUGGCACUUGAGGCCCGGCCCUCCGUCAGGACGCCCAGCCCAAGUGAUCCUGGGCGGGUGGGCACACUUCCCUGAGCCUCCAGCUCCUCAUGAGUAAACGCUGGUGAUAAUUCUCACCUCACGGGGCUGCGUGGAAAAGAAAUGGGGGCGUGUGAGCAAAAUGCCUCCCACAGGUCCUGCCGUGGGGCUGCAUGGGAUAUACUUACACUAACAGAUAUUGCACGGGAUAUACUUAUACGAAAAAUGUAUUUGCUGUUUAUCUGAAAUUCAAAUUUAGCUGGGCAUCCUGGGCUUUUUGUUGUUGUUAUGGAUCUUGUUUUUGUUGGUGCUAAAUCUGGCAACCUUAGCCAGGCACGAAAUGUGUUCAGUGAUGUUCACUGAAUGAACCAACAGAGCUAAAAUAUAUUAGCUGAAAGCAGAAACAAAUGAGGGAUUGGUUGAAAGCUCCGUUGUACAGGCAUUAUUAUUAUGGCUGUCAUUGUUUUCUCACUUGUGGUUCAAAAGUUCCUGCCUCUGAGAACAUUUCUGCUCCUGUCCCAGGCUCAGGCUGUUGGGGGAAGUUGGGACCUGCAGAGCAAAAUGACUCACCCAAGGCCCUCAGGGCCUGUCGCUUCUGAGGCCAGGCCAUCUGCACCCCCAGACAGCUCCUGUCCUCCACACGAUGAAAAAACCCACCCCCGCUGGGCACACGUGACCCCUCUGAAUCUCAGAACAGCCCCACCAGGCUGGGACAGCUGCCCUCCCACGGUGCCGAUGUGGAAAGUGAGGCUCCGAGAGGUGAAGGGACUCGUCCAAGCAGCCGGUGGCACCUCCUAGAUGCUGCUUCUCAUCCUGGGGCAGAACCUGGGGCCCAAGAGCUACAGCUGGCAGAGCUCCAGUCUCGGCUAGAACCAAAGAAGCCUGCCAAAGUCGGACCCAGAGGACUCCGUAUCCGGUGCCUUUUCUAGAACACCCGAGGCUGUUCCCACCAGACUCACCUGGGCUCCUGGGCACCUGGACCAUCUUCAGGAGACCUCAUCAUUCACCACCACCUUCAGGGGCCCACGGUGGAAUUCAGGGGCCCAUGAACCUGGACUGGGAAAGAAAGCCUUUACUCCAUUUUACCUGUAUUCGAGUAUUCAACCAUCAUAUGAACCACCUUACAGAUGGGGAAACUGGGACACAGACAGAAGUCCCUUGCCCAAGGUCAUGCAGCCAGGGAGUGGCAGAGCUGAGAUUUGAAUCCUAACACUUGCACUCUAAACCGCAGUGAUGAAAAUGAUAGCAAUAAAACUGCCAGCCAGUGUUUCCAGCGUAUAUUACAACUCUCUUCAGUCUAUCUGCCAAACAUAUCUGAGAAAGAACUUGUAUCCAGAAUAUAUAAAAAACUCUCAAGAUUCAAUAAUAAGAAAAGCCAAUUUAAAAACGGACAAAAGAUUUGAAUAUUGUAUAUCUUCGCUAAUUAAGAUCUAUUGAUUGUAAAUAAGUACGUGGAAAGAGGUUCAAUGCAAACUAAAACCACAAUGAGAAACCAGUAAACACCCAAUAGAAUGGCUAAAAUCUAAAAGACUGGCCGUACCAAGUGUUGGUGAAGACACGGAGGAGCUGGAAGCCUCGUGCACUUCUGGUCGGAAGGCAAAAUGGUGCAGCCUCUUUGGAAAGUGGUUUGACAGUUUCUUAAAAAGUUAAGCAUAUACUCAUCAUUCCAUCCAGCAAUUGCACUCCUGUAUGUUUACCCAAGAGAAACGAAAACAUGCCCACACGAAGACUUGUCCAUGUCUGUAGCAGUUUUAUUUGUAAUCCAGCCCUCAGGUCUCUUCCAUAGAGACCACCAAACACAUGUCUGUAUUAAUGCCUGGAAUGCUCUAGAAGGACCUCUACCUAAAGGAAUUCUUUCCUACCCCAGGCCCCAAUUUUUUUUUUUUUUGCCAACUUUUAAAAAUCUAGAAACAAUAAAUGCUGGAGAGGGUGUGGAGAAAAGGGAACACUCUUGCACUGCUGGUGGGAAUGUAAAUUGAUACAGCCACUAUGGAGAACAGUAUGGAGGUUCCUUAAAAAACUACAAAUAGAACUACCAUACGACCCAGCAAUCCCACUACUGGGCAUAUACCCUGAGAAAACCAUAAUUCAAAAAGAGUCAUGUACCAAAAUGUUCAUUGCAGCUCUAUUUACAAUAGCCAGGACAUGGA